AAGGAUUUGAUGAAAGAGGUUUUUAAUUGUUACCUUUUUUGGGCACUUUUGACUUGAUUGAAAGAUGAUUGCCCACUGCUCGCGCGUAGGAAUCCCGGUAUGCCUCAAGGGUAUUUUUGUCCUCUUUUGUCCAAAAAACCACGUGGCGCCUAGUGAAUAUUUUUGGCUCCACAAAUGCCCCCACACCUGUUGGGCUGCUCGUAGAAAAGGGCAGCAGGUGUAGAGAUCUUCUUGCUUUAAGAAACUUAGGACUGCUUCCUAUUUUGAUGUAGAUUCUCUCUUUAAUAGGAAAUUAGAUCCUUAUAGGAAAGGGAAAUAAAUUUCUCUCAAAGCCUAUUUAAGUCCACCUUAAGUGGGUUAUUAAAUCAACUUUGGAGAGUGAUUUAUUCUACCCUACAAGAGAGAGAUAGCUUAGAGGAUAUUUGUUCCCCCUCCUCUAGCAGUCUUCUACAUCUUGCCCAUGCAAAGGACCGUCUUUCGUUGCUUUCUUCGUCUUCUUCGUGCCGCACUGAGGUAAGAAAAAAUUAAUUUUCCUUGUCUUCUUCUUGGAUGGUGCUACCGCGGGGCAGCCGUCGGGGUGGUGCAGCACGUCGGCUAGCAUGGGCCAGGAGUCGGCUCGGCAUGGGCCGAUGAGGUAUUGUGGCAGGGACCACUGCUUUAAGAUGCUUGACUUGGCUAGAACCAAUGGCAGUUUAUGUGGCUGGGGCCGCAGAUUAUGGCGCUGGGGCGCAGUACUAGGUGAGUCACAU
rnacentral:lncRNA from 1 species